CCUUCCUCCUCGUCCUCUCAGCUCCCAGCCUCCGCCAGCCGAGCCACAGCUCCCCCCCCCUCCCCUACCCCGGGGCCGCCCCCGCCGUCUCGGCCGGGGGAGUCGCUGUCGCCUUGAGCGACCGGCGGGGGUGGGUGGCGGUGGCGGUAGGGAAGAGAGAGGCCGGAGGCUGCUGUCACCCGGGCAGCGGCGGCAGAGCCCGUGUUUUGCUCUUAAUCUGAGACUUUACAUCCAGUUUUAUCAACACACUUCAAAGGUCUUGAAGAAGUUGAGAGAUGAGCUUUUUACUGGAAGUGCUAUUCAAGCCUCCGUCUUUGAAGUUCUUGUUUA